UACGUAGGCAGCGAGCGUUGUUCGGAGUUACUGGGCGUAAAGGGUGCGUAGGCGGUUGUUUAAGUUUGGUGUGAAAUCUCCCGGCUCAACUGGGAGGGUGCGCCGAAUACUGAAUGACUAGAGUGCGGGAGAGGAGAGUGGAAUUCCUGGUGUAGCGGUGAAAUGCGUAGAUAUCAGGAAGAACACCCGUGGCUAAGGCGGUUCUCUAGUACGGUACUGACGCUGAGACGCGAAAGCGUGGGGAGCGAACAGG
rnacentral:rRNA from 1 species